CCCUUAGAUGUUCUGGGCCGCACGCGCGCUACACUGAUGCAUUCAACGAGUCCAACCUUGACCGAGAGGUCCGGGUAAUCUUUGAAACUGCAUCGUGAUGGGGCUAGAUUAUUGCAAUUAUUAAUCUUCAACGAGGAAUGCCUAGUAAACGUGAUUCAUCAAAUCGCGUUGAUUACGUCCCUGCCCUUUGUACACACCGCCCGUCGCUCCUACCGAUUGAGUGUGUUGGUGAGGAGUUUGGAUUGGCCUCGGAAGGUGGUUCGCCACCGUCCGUAGCUGAGAAGUUCUCCAAACCGCCCCACUUAGAGGAAGGAGAAGUCGUAACA
rnacentral:rRNA from 1 species